CCUUUUAUAUUAAAACAACCCCUGCUCAAUGAAUAAACUUUAAAUAGCCGCGCAAGCGCUAAGGUAGCAUAAUAAUUAGCCCCUUAAUUGGGGGCAAGAAUGAAGGGGGUCAUUAGAAGACUAGAUUUAAACCAGUUAGUAAAACCUUUGUUUUAUUGAAAAGAAUAAAAUGAUUUUUUAAGACGAUAAGACCCUAUGAAGCUUCAUAGCAUUAAACAUAAUUAAAAGGGCACUAGCUAGAUUGUUUGGGGAAAAAUUUAAUAACAGUAUUAUAUUAAUUAGAAAUACUCUGAUCUUGGUCAAAAUAAAAGGAAAAAGCUACUCUAGGGAUAACAGCGUUAUAUUUAUUAAAGUCCUUAUUGAAAUAAAUUAUUGCGACCUCGAUGUUGAAUUAUGAAUCUUUAUAGAUGUAGAAGGUUAUAAAGGUAAGUCUGUUCGACUUAUAUUUC
rnacentral:rRNA from 1 species